GCCAAAGCUUUCUGCAGGAGGGUGAAUGC
rnacentral:piRNA from 1 species